UACGUAGGGUCCGAGCGUUGUCCGGAAUUACUGGGCGUAAAGAGCUCGUAGGUGGUUUGUCGCGUUGUUCGUGAAAACUCACAGCUUAACUGUGGGCGUGCGGGCGAUACGGGCAGACUGGAGUACUGCAGGGGAGACUGGAAUUCCUGGUGUAGCGGUGGAAUGCGCAGAUAUCAGGAGGAACACCGGUGGCGAAGGCGGGUCUCUGGGCAGUAACUGACGCUGAGGAGCGAAAGCUAGGGGAGCAAACGGG
rnacentral:rRNA from 1 species